UACGUAGGGGGCAAGCGUUAUCCGGAUUUACUGGGUGUAAGGGAGCGUAGACGGCAGAGCAAGUCUGAAGUGAAAGCCCGCGGCCCAACUGCGGGACUGCUUUGGAAACUGCCCGGCUAGAGUGCUGGAGAGGUAAGCGGAAUUCCUAGUGUAGCGGUGAAAUGCGUAGAUAUUAGGAGGAACACCAGUGGCGAAGGCGGACUUACUGGACAGU
rnacentral:rRNA from 1 species